rnacentral:rRNA from 1 species
AUUGAACGCUGGCGGCAUGCCUUACACAUGCAAGUCGAACGGUAACAGGUCUUCGGAUUCUGACGAGUGGCGAACGGGUGAGUAAUACAUCGGAACGUGCCCGAUCGUGGGGGAUAACGAGGCGAAAGCUUUGCUAAUACCGCAUACGAUCUACGGAUGAAAGCGGGGGAUCUUCGGACCUCGCGCGGACGGAGCGGCCGAUGGCAGAUUAGGUAGUUGGUGGGAUAAAAGCUUACCAAGCCGACGAUCUGUAGCUGGUCUGAGAGGAUGAUCAGCCACACUGGGACUGAGACACGGCCCAGACUCCUACGGGAGGCAGCAGUGGGGAAUUUUGGACAAUGGGCGAAAGCCUGAUCCAGCCAUGCCGCGUGCAGGAUGAAGGCCUUCGGGUUGUAAACUGCUUUUGUACGGAACGAAAAGCCUCUUUCUAAUAAAGAGGGGUCAUGACGGUACCGUAAGAAUAAGCACCGGCUAACUACGUG